rnacentral:rRNA from 1 species
AACGAACGCUGGCGGCAGGCCUAACACAUGCAAGUCGAGCGAGGACUUCGGUUCUAGCGGCGGACGGGUGAGUAACGCGUGGGAAUGUGCCCUUCUCUACGGAAUAGCCCUGGGAAACUGGGAGUAAUACCGUAUACGCCCUAUUGGGGAAAGAUUUAUCGGAGAAGGAUCAGCCCGCGUUGGAUUAGGUAGUUGGUGGGGUAAUGGCCUACCAAGCCGACGAUCCAUAGCUGGUUCGAGAGGAUGAUCAGCCACACUGGGACUGAGACACGGCCCAGACUCCUACGGGAGGCAGCAGUGGGGAAUCUUAGACAAUGGGGGCAACCCUGAUCUAGCCAUGCCGCGUGAGUGAUGAAGGCCUUAGGGUUGUAAAGCUCUUUCAGCUGGGAAGAUAAUGACGGUACCAGCAGAAGAAGCCCCGGCUAACUCCGUG